GGAGAGGUGCCCGAGUGGUUGAAGGGGCACGACUGGAAAUCGUGUGUAGGUUUACCCCUACCGAGGGUUCGAAUCCCUCCCUCUCCGCCA
rnacentral:tRNA from 3 species